UACGGAGGGCGCGAGCGUUAAUCGGAAUUACUGGGCGUAAAGCGCGCGUAGGCUGUUGUGUAAGUUGGGGGUGAAAUCCCACGGCUCAACCGUGGAACAGCCCUUGAUACUGCGCGACUCGAAUCCGGGAGAGGGUGGCGGAAUUCCAGGUGUAGGAGUGAAAUCCGUAGAUAUCUGGAGGAACAUCAGUGGCGAAGGCGGCCACCUGGACCGGUAUUGACGCUGAGGCGCGAAAGCGUGGGGAGCAAACAGG
rnacentral:rRNA from 1 species